ensembl:lncRNA
CUUACACCGGACGCUCUGCUUGACGAUCUUGUCUUGCUGGUCUUCAACGGUGAAGUGACUUCAACGUAUCGAGACGCUUGUAUUGGUGCAUUCGGUCUGUAUAUAUAGGCACCGUGAGCCACCGCGAGUCAUCGCGUGCACGCACGCAAACGGGAAACGAUACCCUCAUAUAAUGUCGCUCAUCUGUGACUUCUGCAGCUUUUCCCAGCGCCGCACGUGGAACAAGCCGAGGCGGAGGCGAGCGACCACGAUUCCUCAAAUGUCUCCCCGCGAUCCCGCGAGGAACCUGCUGAUCACCUGAUCCAAAUGAGGCGGGGAAGGGAAACUCCUUGCCUUGAUCCGUGCGCGAGGAAAACAAAACCCCCUCAAAAAAACAGGAGGACUCGUAGAACCGCGGCAGUUGCGCUGCUAAUCUUGCGUAGCCGCGUCUCUGGCUUUCGCAUUACAGCGUCGGAUAAACAAGGCCCAACUUUGCAUUUGCUGAAAGGAACAAAGGCCGAACGACGAGACGGUGCAAUAAAAACAACCGGAUCGAAGGCAACUGGAAGUGAUGAAGGACUCGCUCACACUUACGUCGACGCGCGUUUCGAAUCACAGUGAUGUACGAUCCGCGGCCAUCAGCCAGGCCGACAUUGAUCAGGAGCGGCUGCCAGCGCGCCGUCAAAUCAAUCACGGCGAUUGAUUCAGCAGCUCGAGGAGAAUGCAUGAAUGCAUGAAUGCAUGAAUGCACGGCGCAGGGUUUAACGUUGAGCACCGCAAGAAGAACACGUCGAUGUGACGUUAACAACCAUCACCCUUGAUCAUGACGGUAUCGGUAUCAUAUUAUUAAUAAGUCAG